UUUAGCGAGUACAGCAUUCUAAAAUGCCAACAACAACCUUGGUGUGUUUGAUUAGCGUUGGCUCUAGAAUCUCGGAAAUGGCGAAGAUUUGAAUUCAAUCCUAGAAACUGAAGGAAAUUUAAUCGAACGAUGUACCGGGAUUGACAUCGUCAUCCUGAAGUCUGACGCCAGUGGUAGUUUCAACAUGGGACGAAUUUAAGAAUAAUGUUGGUAUAUUUUGAUGUCUGAGUAACUGUAAAAGCUAUAAGCAAAGUAUCUGAAGACUGACUAAAACAGAGAGAGAACAAUGGAGCUUAGGAGAAAGCUGAGUUUAUGGUUGAAAAUUUAACGAAGCACAUUCGAAACCAUCCGUGUAGCAGCAAAAUCAAUCAUGCUUUCGUUUAGCACGCGCGGCGUAACAACCUCCUAAGCAACGUGACGUCACUAAUGAAAGAAGGUGGAUACUGUUGGGCGCAAUUCGUUCGCCCAUGUGCUAAAAAGGGACAAUUCAGGCAAUAAACACCACCACAGUCCGAUUAGCUCGACAGCACG